UACGGAGGGUGCGAGCGUUGUUCGGAAUCACUGGGCGUAAAGCGCGUGUAGGCGGCCCACUAAGUCUGAUGUGAAAGCCCGGGGCUCACCCCCGGAAGUGCAUUGGAAACUGGUGGACUCGAGUCCCGGAGAGGAGAGUGGAAUUCCUGGUGUAGCGGUGAAAUGCGUAGAUAUCGGGAAGAACACCGGUGGCGAAGGCGGCUCGCUGGGCUGUUGCUGACGCUGAGGCGCGAAAGCGUGGGGAGCAAACAGG
rnacentral:rRNA from 1 species